AUACUAAUGACCAGAUAACUAAUGACCAAGGUAACUAAAGACCAGAUAAGAUAGAGUAACUAAUGACCGAGGUAAUUAGUGACCAGAUAAAUGAUAGAGGUAACUAAUGAGCAGGUAACUAAUACCAGGAAAUAUAGAGGUAAACUAAUGACCAUGGUAAAGGAUAGAGGUAACUAAUGACCAGAUACUAAUGACCAGUAAUAAUACCAGUAAAUAGAUAUAGGUAACUAAUGACCAGGAACUAAUGACCGGAUAAAUGAUAGAGGUAACUAAUGACCAGAUAACUAAUGACCAGAAAAUGAUUAGAGGUAACUAAUGACCAGGUAAAGGAUUAGAGUAACUAAUGACCAGAUAACUAAUGACCAGAUAAAUAAUAGAGGUAAACUAAUGACCAAGUAAGGAUGUAGAGGUAAACCAUAAUGUACCAGAAUAACUAGAUCCAGGUAAACUAAUGAUCCAGUAAAAUGAUAGAGGUAACUAAUGAUAAAAUGAAGAGGGUAACUAAUGACCAGUAACUAAUGACAGCGUAAAGGGUAGAGUGUAACAAUGACCAGAUAACUAAUGACCAGAUAAAGGAUAGAGGUAACUAAUGACCAGAUAACUAAUGACCAGAUAAAUGAUAGGGGUAACUUAAUGACCAGAUAACUAAUGACCAGAUAAAUGAUAGAAGGUAACCUAAUGACCAGGAUAAAUUGAUGAGAGGUAACUAAUGACAGAUAAAAUGAUAAUGAGACUCUCCCCCUUUCCCCCUCCCUCUCCCAAUACCCUCCUUUAUAUCUCCCCCUUUCACCUCCUCUCCCAAUACCCUUCUUAUCUCUCCCCCUUUUCACCUCCUCUCUCCCAAUACCCUUCCUUUAUCAUCUCCCCCCUUUCCCCCUCCUCUCUCCCAUACCGUUCCUUAUCUCUCCCCCUUUUCCCCUCCUCUCUCCCCAAUACCCUUCCUUAUCUCUCCCCCUUUCCCUCCUCUUACCCCAUUUCGCACCCCUCUAUUCUCACUCCCCCCCCCCCCCCCCCCUGCUCUCCCUUCUGUCUUAAUCAUAGAUUUCUACAGUCUGGGGGUGGUGCGUGCGAGGAAACCCCUUUCCCCUGCCUGUACGUGUUAUGGGGUGUGUGGUGUUAUGGGGCGGGGGUGAAGAAGAGGAUGCGUGCGAGAGAACCCCUUUCCCUGCCUGUCAAGUUUAUGGGUUGUGUGUGGUUAUGGGGCGGGAGGGGUGAAGAAGAGGGCAUGCUGUGCGAGAGGAACCCUUUCCCCUGCUGUAAGUGUUAUGGGGUUGUGUGUGUUAUGGAGCGGAGGGUGAAGAAGAGGGCAUGCGUGCGAGAGGAACCCCUUUCCCCUGCCUGUAAGUGUUAUGGGGUUGUGUGUGUGUUAUCGGGCGGGGUGAAGAAGAGGCACCCCUUUCCCUGCCUGUAAGUGUUAUGGGGUGGUGUGUGUGUAUGGGGCGGGGUGUGAAGAAGAGGAACCCCCGCUCCCAUGUAUCUUGUCUAACGCUGCUUGUGUAACUGUCCUGAGGU
rnacentral:lncRNA from 1 species